AGCGACUUGGGGGAGGUGCGUGUGUUUUGGGAAGUCAUGUAUAAAAUUGUGAUUUCAAAAAAUUUACCUAGGUUUGAGGCUAAUCAAUGGAUAUAAUUGGAUAAGAUACAAACUUAAGUGACUAGGUAUUAUAAGAACCAUAUCGAUAUCUCUAAUAAGCGCUUCGUUGAAUAUGCCUAUAUUAGUCCAUUUGUAUUCAUGAUAUACUUGUUUUCUGUAUGCAUUUUACUGCUUAAAACCACCUAAACUUAACCAUUUCAUUUACUGUGUAAAAAGAACUAAUACAAAUUAUUAAUGUUAAUCUACAUGUGCAGUUGAGAAAACAAGAUAUUAAAGCUAGACUUUUGGUGAAGAUCAAAGUUGGACCCAGAAAAACACGUGAGUAUGUUUAUAUUAUAAUUUAUUUAUGUUGAUAGUAUUGAUUAGGCUAAGAGUUAGGUACCGCUGGUUACACUACAAAUUAAUUUAUUUAUGAACUAAGUUUAAUUUGUAGAGAAGUUCAUUUCAAUUUUUUUUUAUAUUUAGAGAAUUGUUCGUGAGAGAACGUUAUCUUUCUUUGGGGUCUUAAGUCAUGAGUUUCAUGUUUCAAUUUAGAGAAAAUAAAGUUGUACUUUUGUAGUUGUGUGAUCAACUUCACCCACCAGCUAGUAGCAAACAAGGCUGAAUAUAGUAAAGAUUCCUAAACUAUAACACUAGGUGAGUGGAUGAAAAUGAAACUGUAACACUAAGUCUGUAACACUGAAUAUAUGUUAAUGAAGGCAAUGAUGUUAAAGAAAGAAAAUGAUCCCUUUCAGCCAAAUCGUUUUAGCAUUGUAGUAGAAAAGAUUGAAAUAUAUCAGAAGGCCUUAUUAUAAUUUUUGAUAAGUUGAACCUAACAUUACAGGCAUGUUGUCCAUAUUUUGCCUUGAUUAUUCCCUUUAAUACAUGAUAAAGUCUUCUACCAGAAAUAAUCAGGUUAACUUAAUGUGACCAUAUCUAGAUCACUGCCGAUGAGAUUAAAAAAAGUCAUGAAAUGUAUGCUAUAUAUUAUGCUCUUUUUUAGUUAAGAAAAAUAACUAAUGUCUUUUUUUACUGCAACAUGCAACAUGGCUUAAUGCAUUGAUUUUACCACCUGAAACAUUUUAGAGGACAUGUUUCAAAUGCAUUUACAUGUUUUGUUUUUGUCUUUUUUGUGAUGUAUUGGCAUAUUUUCACCAAUUUAAAAUAAAGUCCAAGAAGAAUAGGAUAAUAUUGGGUCACUUCUCAAAUAUAUAUUUUAGCUUGUUUGUGGGUAGCAUCCCGAGUGUCUUCUAGUGUGUGAUACUAAUCUUUAUAAAUGUGACUGAAUAGACACUUGGGUAAUCCAAAUACUCUUCAAUGUCAAGAUUAAAAUUGAGUUCCUCAUUUGAAUAUUCAACUUAGUUUUACCAGCUCAAUACAAAAUAUUAAGAAAUAUAAGAAUGAAACUAAACAUGGACAAAUAAAUUAUUUGAAACUAAAAUAUAUCAAAAAAAAUUGUUGGGUGUAAUAUUAUCAACAACCCAGUUAUUAAUUUUCUUAUUAUCUUAUAAAAAAAUUAAAUAAAAAAUAGACAUUUUCUAUCUCAAAAAUAUAAAAUAUCUUAAAUAAUUAGCAUAUAAAUCAAGGAAGAAAAUUGGGGUUUAAUGAUGCUUUUUCUUAUUAUGAGAUCAUAUUGCAAGCAUAAUAAGAUUGAUUCAUUUAUAAAAAAUAGAAAAAACCCGUUUUUGUCUUUAACAACCAAAAGAUAAUAAUAAACAACACCUUUGUGACUCACUCCAUUCAAAAGCAGGAGUGACAGACACAUAACUUUUCAUGACUCAUAACACCAUCACGCCUUUUUAAUUUAAUUUACAAAAUUUAUCAUACCCCUUUAAUAAUUGCUGUAAUUAAAUUUAUCAUAUAUAUUUUACCCAAUAAAAAAUAUUAUUUUUUUGAAUUAUAGUUAUAUGUAAAGUACAUUAAAAAAUCAAUGGAUAUGUAAAUUCUAAAAUGUAAAAUUUUCUAAAACAACAAAACAGAAUGCAGGAAUCAAGUAUCAUGUCAAUUCAAAAACAUUUUAAUGAUUCUUUAUUUACAUUUUCUGUAAACAAUAAUAAUUUGUGGUUCACAGUUAAAUACCACAACAUAAGGAUGUACAUCAAAUCGUAAAAAAUCCAUCAGAACUAAAGACCUGAUUAGCCUUUCUUUGUAUAUUGGAAUUCAAAUCUAUAACCUUUUUAGGCCAACCUAUAAUAAAUAUAUCGUAAAUAUAUUUCUUUCAAUUUUAGAUGUCCUCUGGAAUUAAGAGGAAAUAGGGAAAAUUAUCAGAAUUUAAUUUACUAUACAUUAGAAUUUGACAACUUAUUGAUAAGGAGAUUUUCCUUUUCUCUAUUUUGUGUUAUGGAGUGAGGUACCUAUUCUCUUAGGUUGUUGAUUGUUGGGAUCAUUCUUCCCUUCCUUCCUUCUCAUGUACGAAGUGUCAUUCAACAACUAUAUGAACAAGUACUAUCGCAACAAGAACCACCAAGGCAAAAGGAACCGCCCAGACAACAAGAACAUGAUGAUACUAAUUAUGUAGACUGUUAGGAUUAUGUUUGUAGUUUUUUUGACUUUUUGAAUUAUGGAUCUUUAUUUAUGUUUGAAGUUUUUUUUGGAUUUUUAUAAAUAUUUCAAGUGGACUUGAGUUUAUCUUUCAUGUGAUGAGACUUCAAUUAUGUUAUGUUUGAAUUCGAAAUUAAAUGUGUGUUUUCUUUUCUUUUAUGUUAG
rnacentral:lncRNA from 1 species